UACGUAGGGUGCGAGCGUUAAUCGGAAUUACUGGGCGUAAAGCGUGCGCAGGCGGUUCGUUAAGUCAGAUGUGAAAGCCCCGGGCUCAACCUGGGAACUGCAUUUGAAACUGGCGGGCUUGAGUAUGGCAGAGGGGGGUGGAAUUCCGCGUGUAGCAGUGAAAUGCGUAGAGAUGCGGAGGAACACCGAUGGCGAAGGCAGCCCCCUGGGCUGACACUGACGCUCAGGCACGAAAGCGUGGGGAGCAAACAGG
rnacentral:rRNA from 1 species